rnacentral:tRNA from 1 species
GAGGUAGCUCAGCAGUUAAGAGCACUGGCUGCUCUUCCAGAGGACCUGGGUUCAAUUCUCAGCACCCUCA